UUGAGCUCUUGGGGAAACUGCGUUCA
rnacentral:piRNA from 1 species